GCCUGGGGUAGCUUAGUCACUAGAGCAUGAGACUCUUAAUCUCAAGGUCAGGGGUUUGAGCCCUAAAUUGGGCA